rnacentral:rRNA from 1 species
UACGUAGGGUGCGAGCGUUAAUCGGAAUUACUGGGCGUAAAGCGCGCGUAGGCGGCUUUGCAAGUCGGGUGUGAAAUCCCCAGGCUUAACCUGGGAACUGCAUUCGAGACUGCAUUGCUAGAGUAUGGGAGAGGGAAGUGGAAUUUCCGGUGUAGCGGUGAAAUGCGUAGAUAUCGGAAGGAACAUCAGUGGCGAAAGCGACUUCCUGGACCAAUACUGACGCUCAUGUGCGAAAGCGUGGGGAGCAAACAGG